CCUACGGGUGGCAGCAGUGGGGAAUAUUGCACAAUGGGGGAAACUCUGAUGCAGCGACGCCGCGUGAAGGAAGAAGGAUUUCGGUAUGUAAACUUCUAUCAGCAGGGAAGAAAAUGACAGUACAUGACUAAGAAUCCCCGGCUAAUAACGUGCCAGCAGCCGCGGUAAUACGUAGGGGGCAAGCGUUAUCCGGAUUUACUGGGCGAAAAGGGAGCGUAGGCGGUUUAGCAAGUAAGAAGUGAAAGCCCGGGGCUCAACGCCGGGACUGCUUUUGAAACUGGUGAACUUGAGUGCAGGAGAGGUAAGUGGAAUUCCUGGUGUAGCGGUGGAAUGCGUAGAUAUUAGGAGGAACACCAGUGGCGAAGGCGGCUCUCUGGACUGUAAAUGACGCUGAGGCUCGAAAGCAUGGGGAGCAAACAGGAUUAGAUACCCGAGUAGUC
rnacentral:rRNA from 1 species